UUCAUUGAGGUUUAAGAGAUGUAAGGGAGAACACUGUCUCCCAGAUUUGGAUGUUAAAUUCGAGGAAGUGUUUAUGCUUUUCCCGGACACGGAUUUUUAAGAACCAGCUAUACCUUUUUUGUCACUUGAUAAAGUGAAACUGUUUUUUUCUGGUUUUUGCCACGAUGGCAAUUCAAGGAUCUUUUAUCUGCAUAUGCGUAAAAUGGCGAGUGUUCCGAGAAUGGCGAUGGCAAAUACAAAUGCUGCUUUUCCUGCUUCAUGUGGCUAACGUGGUUGAUGGUCAGAUUCGUUAUUCUAUACCAGAGGAGAUGAAGAAAGGCUCUGUCAUCGGGAAUGCAGCUCAAGAUCUUGGUUUGGAUCUUAGAAGGCUCCGUUCAGGGCGGGCCCGUAUCGUGAGUGGAGAAAACAUCCAGUACACCGAGCUGAAGACAGACAAAGGGACUCUGGUCGUGAAUGAGAGAAUUGACCGAGAGCAGCUCUGUGGAGACACGACUCCGUGUAGCUUCAGCUUUGAGAUGAUUUUAGAGAAUCCAAUGGAACUACAUCGAAUAACUGUCGAGGUUUUAGACAUAAACGAUCACGCUCCUGUUUUCACAAAUGAUAAGCCUAUUACUUUUGAGGUGAGUGAAUCAGCUGCAAUCGGGGUCAAAUUUCCUCUGCGGAGUGCAGAAGAUUUUGAUGUUGGGCAAAACGCUUUACAAGAUUACAUUUUAUCAACCAACGACAAUUUUAUAUUGAAGCAACAUGCGAAUCCAGACGGAAGUAAAUAUGUUGAAAUGGUGCUCCAGAAGCCUUUAGACCGAGAGCGACAUCCACACUUGUCCUUAAAGCUGAUCGCAGUCGACGGAGGAACACCACAGAGAUCUGGUACAGUAAAUAUAGAAAUCACUGUCUUAGAUGCAAACGACAAUAUUCCGAUUUUUAACCAGUCCGUGUAUAAAGCCUCUGUGUUUGAAAACACAAUGAAGGGAACAAAAAUUAUCACAGUAAAUGCAACAGACGCUGACAGUGGUUCAAAUGGAGUCAUUAGUUACAGUUUGUCCAACAACAAAGGCAGUGUGGCAGAUUUGUUUAGCAUCGAUGAGAAGACAGGCACUAUAUCUGUAAAUGGUCCACUUGACUAUGAAAAAGACAGGAAAUAUGAGGUGAGGGUGGAGGCUAAAGAUCAAGGUGGCUUAAUAGGAACUAGUAAAGUUAUAUUUGAUGUUUUUGAUGUUAAUGACAAUGCUCCAGUGAUAAAUAUUAUGUCGUUUUCUUGUCCUGUAUCCGAGGAUUCCCUUCCUGGUGCAACGAUUGCUAUUUUAAACGUCAAAGAUGCAGAUUCUGAUAAAAAUGGACAAAUAAAAUGUUCAGUCGAUAGGAAAAUACCAUUUAGGAUUGAAUCAUCUCUGACAAACUAUUAUAAUUUGAUCUCAGAUCAACAUUUUGAUAGAGAAUCUGUCUCAGAAUAUAACAUCACAAUAACAGCCACUGAUUUCGGUUCUCCACCUCUUUCCACCUCCACAAAAUUGCACUUAAAAAUUUCCGACGUAAAUGACAACGCGCCAUUAUUUGAUAAAACAAUUUACUCUGCUUACGUCACAGAAAAUAAUCCACCUGGAGUAUCCAUAUUUACUGUCAGCGCAAGAGACUCAGAUUGGGGCCAAAAUGCGAGAAUCUCGUAUAUUUUAGAGGAUACACAGGUCAGUGGAAGUCCAGUCUCAACUUAUGUGAGUCUAAACUCUGAAACUGGAGUUCUCAGCGCAGUUCGUUCUCUUGAUUAUGAGCAAAUCAAAUAUCUUCAGCUGGUAGUCAAAGCUCAGGAUGGAGGCUCCCCUCCACUCAGCAGCAACGUGACAGUGAAAAUAGUGAUCCAGGACCAGAACGACAACCCCCCUCAGGUCCUGUACCCGGUCCAGACUGGUGGCUCUCUGGUGGCUGAGAUGGUCCCUCGUGCAGCAGAUGUGGGCUAUCUGGUGACUAAAGUGGUGGCUGUGGAUGUGGACUCUGGACAGAAUGCCUGGCUGUCGUAUAAACUGCAGAAAGCCACAGACAGGGCGCUGUUUGAAGUGGGCUUACAGAAUGGAGAAAUCCGAACUAUCCGCCAAGUGAGUGAUAAAGAUGCUGUGAAACAAAGACU
rnacentral:lncRNA from 1 species